rnacentral:rRNA from 1 species
GUCCACACCAUAAACGAUGGUCACUAGUUGUCGGGGAUUCGACCCCUCGGCAACGACGCUAACGCAUUAAGUGACCCACCUGGGGAGUACGCUCGCAAGGGUGAAACUCAAAGGAAUUGACGGGGCCCGCACAAGCGGUGGAGCAUGUGGUUUAAUUCGAUGCAACGCGAAGAACCUUACCUGGGCUCGAAGUGCUCUGUAAACCCAUGAAAGUGGGCUAUCCCUUCGGGGAGCGGAGUAUAGGUGCUGCAUGGCUGUCGU